UUAUCCACUGUCAAUACUGUACUUUUGAUGCAAUAUAUUUGCCAAAAAACCCAUCAGCUUUUAUUUUCCAUUUUAAACAACUACAAUAUUUACAGGUUUAGAAUAACAUUCAGACACACACACACACACUCACAGACACGCGCAAAUACAUACAUAUAUCCUUAUCUCUGGUUUACACUGAAUGCUGGUAAAGGCGAUGAACACUUUCCAGAGCCCAUGAUCAGAAAAGGGAGACCUAUUUUUCUUUACUCUCCUGGAGCCAUUUUUAAUAUUCCUCCUUCCAUUUCCUCAUGUGGAGCUCAUUGCCAGCCUUAUACAGGGUUAACAAUUAUUUUUUACAAUUUACUUUUAAACUAUAAGCUUUUAAAAAGCAUAAGCAGAUACAACCCUCUCCCUUUCUAUUAUUUUGGUUGUAGAAUCAAGUUUCAUAUAUUUAAAAAAAUGUUGUUCAGCCAUAAGUAUACUAAACCCAAGAGUCAUCUGGAGCAGCCAUCUCCUUCUCUACUACUCUUCUGUUCUGAAUUCUAGGGCAUCGGCUCAUCUGCACAAGUAACACCCAGGAAUUCAUCCCAAUACAUGUCAGAUGACCUCUGUUCCUUCCAGCAUGGCUCCACUGAAUUAUAAAUUGUCGCGUACAGAGCUGAGGCAUAUGAAAAAAGUAAACCCUAUGUAAUAGGUAUAAGUCUUAGAACAAAGUUGCCAUACAAUCUUGCAGUGACAAUCAGCUCUAGUUCCCCCAUGGAGCAUUAUGUUGAUCUCACAACAGGGCCAAUAAUGAAGUUCAGCUCACAAAUGAGUUAUUUACUAAUUCAGAAAGAAUAUGUGGCUUACAGAUAACACAAAGAAAGUCCAUAACACAUAAUUCUUGACCGGUGACUCUGGUGAGGUGAUUCAUAGCAGAAAAUAUACCUCUGUUUCAAGCAAAAUUAAUACUCUAUGCAUAUCCUACCAAAUCUAUUUUAUAAUAAUUAAUUCCUUUCCAAUUACAGUUCUUACCUAAAUAUUUAACAAGGUUAAAAUAAUAAGACCUGGUUGUUUAUCACCUACCAUAUUUAUAAAAGAAAUGAAGCAAAGAGGAGCUGGCUUUUCAAUGCUUAUUUUUUUAAAAGGUUACACAUAUCCAACAUAGUAUUAAAAUUUAUGCUGCCUAAAUAUAUGGUAAUAUCUAAUUUCUUGUUUCCCCUGCUCAAUAAAAAUCUAUAUCCAUAUAAGACUAACACAGACAAUUCAAAGUCCAUUAACAAGUUCCAUGUACCAUCUUAUCCUUGACAUUUUUCUCUCUGCUGAUCUUAGAGUGAAAGGGAAAGCCUCUGGAAUAAAAAAAAGUAUUUUAUAUCUUAUUUGAACAACGGAAGGUUAAAUGAAAAAAUUAACUGUGUCUGUGUUUGGACAGAGUAACUUUAUAUGAUUGCAUCACAUUAUGAAAGAGAAUGAGAGUUAAAUACUGAGGAUUCAAAAAGCACCCCUGGCCCAAAUAACAAAAACCAGAAAGGGGUUUGUUUAUAUUUAUGAAAAAGUAAUUCGAAUAUAACAAUCUGGGGAGUGGUUUAGGAGUUAGUCAACAUAAAUUUUUUAAAUUCCCACAUAAAACUACUAUUAUUUAUUUUCUCAAGUCACAUAUUUAUUUAGGAUGAAAUAGGCUUAAAAGUUGGUUCAAAUUUUAAAAAACACUAUUUUAGACAAAUCAUAAGAUUAAACAACCCAGUUCUGGAUGAACAACGCAGUACAACAAUACACCAAAUGAAAUUUCUAAGCAGAAGUGGAAGAAUGCUGCUUAGAGAAAAAGUAGAAUUUAUUAAGGCUAAGUUAUCCUUGUUUAGAUGUGAAGGUGUAUUUUAUAUUUUGAUAGGACAUAGGGAAAAGGAAUAUUUCAUUUUUUAAUAAGCUAUAGUUUCCUAUAUAAAAACUUGUUUUUUCAUUGCCUGACAUCUGGUACCCAGAAUAUUUUUAAAUUUAUCUUUCGGGAUAGAAAUAUUGUCUGAUAUUUUCUGUUUCAAGGAUUAAAAGGUAUUUCAGAUAUACUUGAAAUAUUUUUUGAAAUACUUCAAGUCUAACAGAAUUUAAUAUUCUGGCAAUGAAGGCAGAUAUGCUGAUUAACUGUGUUCACUAAUUUCUUCAGCAGUAAUUACUUUUCUCUUAUCUUAAAAAACUAUACAGACACCCUCACCAUCACUCUCUCAAAUUCCAUAAAUAUCAACAUGUUAUGUUAAUCUAGAUUCUUGGAAAAAUUAAAGCUUUUUAGUAAAAAGUCAACAUUUAAAGUUAUCAAGUAUUGAAAAUGGUAUACAAAGAGUUCACACCAAGGUAAAGGUAAAAGAUUACCAAAGGCUUAAUUUGGAAUUAUAAAAUGGUUUUGUCACUGAGUAAGAGGAAAAAACUUUUAAAAAAGGUAACCAUUUCCAACUUAUGCCAGGUUACUCUCUCAAAAGGAGAGUAAAAAAAGAAAACACAAAGGAUUCAAACACACAUCUGUACUUAAAGAAAGUAAAUAAAAAGGUAAUGUUUUAAUUACAUAUGUUUGGUUCUAAAUUAUGGAACUCUGAAAAAUUUGAAAAUUAUGAACUAAAAUGAAUGAAGUCUUGUACACUAAUGAAAAUGGUUAAGGAGAAAAUCUAAACAAAUAGCUUAUUAUUUCUGUGGGGAGGAGCCAAAUUG
ensembl:lncRNA